AGAGUUUGAUCCUGGCUCAGAACGAACGCUGGCGGCGUGCCUUAUACAUGCAAGUCGAGCGCGAACGUUCUCUUCGGAGAGCAAGUAGAGCGGCGAACGGGUGAGUAACACGUGAGUAACCUACCCCCGAAACUGGGAUAACUACUGGAAACGGUAGCUAAUACCGGAUAAUAUCGUAAGUGGGCAUCCACCUACGACCAAAGGGUGCUUAGACUUCGGUCGCGCAUAUUUGGGGAGGGGCUCGCGGCCUAUUAGCUUGUUGGUGGGGUAAUGGCCUACCAAGGUUAUGAUGGGUAGCCGGUCUGAGAGGAUGGUCGGUCACACUGGGACUGAGAUACGGCCCAGACUCCUACGGGAGGCAGCAGUAUGGGAUAUUGCGCAAUGGGGGAAACCCUGACGCAGCGACGCCGCGUGGACGAUGAAGGCUUUCGUGGUUGUAAAGUCCUUUUAGGAGAGACGAAAUUGUUCAGGCCCAAUAAGUCUGUUCUUAGACG
rnacentral:rRNA from 1 species